rnacentral:rRNA from 1 species
UACGUAGGUGACCAGCGUUGUCCGGAUUUACUGGGCGUAAAGAGCGCUCAGGCGGUCGUUCAAGUCGAGUGUGAAAGCCCCCGGCUCAACUGGGGAGGGUCAUUCGAUACUGAUCGACUGGAAGGCAGGAGAGGGAAGCGGAAUUCCCGGUGUAGUGGUGAAAUGCGUAGAUAUCGGGAGGAACACCAGUGGCGAAGGCGGCUUCCUGGCCUGUUCUUGACGCUGAGGCGCGAAAGCUAGGGGAGCAAACGGG